rnacentral:rRNA from 1 species
GACGAACGCUGGCGGCGUGCUUAACACAUGCAAGUCGAACGCUGAAGCUUGGUGCUUGCACUGGGUGGAUGAGUGGCGAACGGGUGAGUAAUACGUGAGUAACCUGCCCUUGACUCUGGGAUAAGCCUGGGAAACUGGGUCUAAUACUGGAUACGACAUGUCACCGCAUGGUGGUGUGUGGAAAGGGUUUUACUGGUUUUGGAUGGGCUCACGGCCUAUCAGCUUGUUGGUGGGGUAAUGGCUCACCAAGGCGACGACGGGUAGCCGGCCUGAGAGGGUGACCGGCCACACUGGGACUGAGACACGGCCCAGACUCCUACGGGAGGCAGCAGUGGGGAAUAUUGCACAAUGGGCGAAAGCCUGAUGCAGCGACGCCGUGUGAGGGAUGACGGCCUUCGGGUUGUAAACCUCUUUCAGCACGGAAGAAGCGAAAGUGACGGUACGUGCAGAAGAAGCGCCGGCUAACUACGUG